rnacentral:rRNA from 1 species
AUGAACCCUAUGCCCGUCGACACAAAUUUAACCAUUGGUCCUUCCCCAUUCAGAAAACCAACUGCAGUUUUGCGGCCCCCCGCACUCACGCAGAGCAACUUGUUUGGGUGGUUUGCUGUAGCUCCGCCAAAUAAACGCCCAAGGAUGACUACUGACUACUCGAUUGCAAACCCAGUUGGAGUAGCUAUUUCUGAGAUGGAGGGGCAGAGAAGAGAUGAGCUUUUCUAUGCAAUGGCCAUGGAUUCAUCGGUCAAUGAUUUAUCUAGGGUGUGGUUCAAGCAUGGGCGCCCAUAUCUCAUUGAGAUGACUGGUGAGGAGGUGCUGGAAGAGUUCUGCGUCGAUAAAACACUUGCCCAAAAAGGCCUUGACUCCAUUCUGCGUUUGGGGGUCUGCCCCCCGGCAUCUGGGAGACUGAUCAUUGGGCCUGAUUGGGCGUUCAAAGUUUCAUACACUAGGGGCACUGGAGGAGAGCGGAUGUCCGCACAAUGUUUAACCAACUACCACCGGGAGUCAAGUGCGAACUGGGGCUGGUUGUGGUGUACCUUGGUCAAGGGUGGAUCUGUAUGUCUUUGA